GAUGAACGCUGGCGGCGUGCCUAAUACAUGCAAGUCGAGCGAACGGACGAGAAGCUUGCUUCUCUGAUGUUAGCGGCGGACGGGUGAGUAACACGUGGAUAACCUACCCAUAAGACUGGGAUAACUUCGGGAAACCGGAGCUAAUACCGGAUAAUAUUUUGAACCGCAUGGUUCAAAAGUGAAAGACGGUCUUGCUGCCACUUAUAGAUGGAUCCGCGCUGCAUUAGCUAGUUGGUAAGGUAACGGCUUACCAAGGCAACGAUGCAUAGCCGACCUGAGAGGGUGAUCGGCCACACUGGAACUGAGACACGGUCCAGACUCCUACGGGAGGCAGCAGUAGGGAAUCUUCCGCAAUGGGCGAAAGCCUGACGGAGCAACGCCGCGUGAGUGAUGAAGGUCUUCGGAUCGUAAAACUCUGUUAUUAGGGAAGAACAUAUGUGUAAGUAACUGUGCACAUCUUGACGGUACCUAAUCAGAAAGCCACGGCUAACUACGUG
rnacentral:rRNA from 1 species